AAAAAAGCCUCUAGUGAGUGUUGUGGCGGCCCGUACCCUAAACCGACUCAGGUGGUCAGGUAGAGAAUACCAAGGCGAUCGGGUGAACUGUGGUUAAGGAACUCGGCAAAUUGCCCCCGUAACUUCGGGAGAAGGGGGACCUCUGCUGGUGAUGGGCUUUACGUUCUGAGCUGGUGGGGGUCGCAGUGGCCAGGGGGAAGCGACUGUUUACUAAAAACACAGGUCCGUGCGAAGUCGUAAGACGAUGUAUACGGACUGACGCCUGCCCGGUGCCGGAACGUUAAGGGGACCGCUUAGCCAGCUUCGGUUGGCGAAGGUGAGAACUUAAGCGCCGGUAAACGGCGGUGGUAACUAUAACCAUCCUAAGGUAGCGAAAUUCCUUGUCGGGUAAGUUCCGACCUGCACGAAUGGCGUAACGACUUCCCCGCUGUCUCAACCACAGACCCGGCGAAAUUGCACUACGAGUAAAGAUGCUCGUUUCGCGCAGCAGGACGGAAAGACCCCGGGACCUUCACUACAGCUUGACAUUGGCGUUUGGAACGUCUUGUGUAGGAUAGGUGGGAGACUAGGAAGCUGUCACGCUAGUGAUGGUGGAGUCAUUGGUGAAAUACCACUCUGGUCGUUUUGAACGUCUAACUCUGGUCCGUGAUCCGGAUCGGGGACAGUGUCUGGUGGGUAGUUUAACUGGGGCGGUUGCCUCCUAAAGAGUAACGGAGGCGCCCAAAGGUUCCCUCAGCCUGGUUGGCAAUCAGGUGUUGAGUGUAAGUGCACAAGGGAGCUUGACUGUGAGACUGACAGGUCGAGCAGGAGCGAAAGCUGGGACUAGUGAUCCGGCAUCGGCGUGUGGAAGCGGUGUCGUUCAACGGCUAAAGGUACCCCGGGGAUAACAGGCUGAUCUUCCCCAAGAGUCCACAUCGACGGGAUGGUUUGGCACCUCGAUGUCGGCUCGUCGCAUCCUGGGGCUGGAGUAGUCCCAAGGGUUGGGCUGUUCGCCCAUUAAAGCGGUACGCGAGCUGGGUUUAGAACGUCGCGAGACAGUUCGGUCCCUAUCCGCUGCGCGCGCAGGAGACUUGAAGGGGGCUGUCCCUAGUACGAGAGGACCGGGACGGACGAACCUCUGGUGUGCCAGUUGUACCGCCAGGUGCACGGCUGGUUGGCUACGUUCGGAAGGGAUAACCGCUGAAAGCAUCUAAGCGGGAAGCUCGCCUUGAGAUGAGGUCUCCCACCCCGUGAGGGGGUAAGGCUCCCGGUAGAUCACCGGGUUGAUAGGCCGGAGGUGGAAGCACGGUAACGUGUGGAGCUGACCGGUACUAAUAGGCCGAGGACUUGACCG
rnacentral:rRNA from 1 species